UUCUGGACGUGGAUGGUGUGAAGGUGAAGCUGCAGAUGUGGGACACAGCUGGUCAGGAGCGGUUCCGCAGUGUUACCCAUGCCUACUACCGGGAUGCUCAUGCUCUGCUGCUGCUCUACGAUGUCACCAACAAGGCCUCCUUUGACAACAUCCAGGCCUGGCUGACCGAGAUCCACGAGUACGCCCAGCACGACGUGGCGCUCAUGCUGCUGGGGAACAAGGUGGACUCUGCCCAUGAGCGUGUGGUGAAGAGGGAGGACGGGGAGAAGCUGGCCAAGGUGAGUCAGGGCAGGGGGGUGGUGAGGGGGUGCCCCUGGAGGCUGCGAGCCUAGGCUGUCCCCGCCAGGCCACCACCUGGCUGGCAGCAGCUGUUUACAGGAGUAUGGACUGCCCUUCAUGGAGACCAGCGCCAAGACGGGCCUCAACGUGGACUUGGCCUUCACAGCCAUAGCAAAGUAAGUCCUGCCAGUCACCAGGACUCCCCCAGCCCAGGGCCUGAAUCCUCAUUAGAGUCCAGGCCAUCGUGUCCCCUUGUCACCCCCACUCCGCAGGGAGUUGAAGCAGCGCUCCAUGAAGGCUCCCAGCGAGCCGCGCUUCCGGCUGCAUGAU
rnacentral:sRNA from 1 species